GAAUGGCAACAGCUGGUGUCUGACGGCGACCAAUCACUUUACCAAGUGGGUGGAGGCAAUACCCAUUAAGGUCAGUAAAGAAAGAGUAUGUGCUUAACUUUAAUUUCCCUUCUGUAACCUAUUACGGACUCAGAAGGAUGUAGAGGUUUUUGACCAGGUAAAAAUUAUUGUUGGCUGUUCAUUUAUUUUCUGGCCCUCCAAGAGAUAUGUAAGAAAUGUAUUUGUAACAUGAAAUAUAAUUGCAUUUAUUCUCGUUAUCAAUCAAGGUGAGACUGAACAUGGACAAAAGCACAAGAGAAACAGAAGGAGAGCUACCAGAGCAGAAUCAAGAAGGAGACCAAGUGCUAUGACAUCCGGGGCGAAUUAUUUGGUUUGGAAGAAGAACAAAAGGAAGGCGAGACCUGGGAAACCUCGCUGCUCUUUCGCUCCUAGCUGUGCUGUGUUUUAGUUUCCCUAACACUGAUACUUUUCUCUUUGUAUUCCUAUGGCUACCUCGGUGGAAGCCAACAAUCUUCUACAGUUGGAGCAGUUGGACGCCCUACACUUCAGUGAAGCCCAAUAGACAAAGACCAUCGACUGUCCGAACCUCCCAGGAGGUAUCCCAUCCACCAGAACCUGUGAGUUCAGAUCAGUCUGAUUCUCUGUGCUCUGAGUUGGAGGGGGACCAGCUUGAGGAGCAAGAGGUAUUGCCCGACACCCAGAAAUGGAUCCAUCUGAUGUCCACCAUACCAACCACCCUCCAACUUUUCAUUACAUCAGAUAUUCCCAAACUGGGUACGUGCAAUGCCG